GAACUAUGGUCUCAUAGCUCAUCUUGAAAGUGCAGUUGCAGUGAUAUGGUGUAUGCCUAUAGUUCUUUCUGGAACAAGAACUGUAACCAAAGAUGAGAUCGUUCUUCGGGAAGCUUUCGGCCUAUGAAUCACAGUACGUUGAUGAUAUAGUCUUCCUAAAGGUUUUGUAUAAAUCUUCGAGACCCGAUAAAGAUAUUCCUUGGCAUUCCGGAACGUUUUAAAAUCACAGCAGUCUUUGGAAGAAAUAUGGAACUGGAAAGACAGAACAUUCCUCUCCUACCCCCCCUGAAAACUUUCAAGAAGAUGUGAAGAACAAUGGAUAUUAUUUGGAGAAACUACAGAACUUUACGUCACAGACCUGAUGGCAAAUGUUGGUUCAAUGAGAUUUAACAAGAGAAAUCAGUUUGGUUGUUCUUAACGGGAGAGGUAGUCCACACCCUGGUGCUCAUGAUAAUCUAUUACAAGCUAGAGUUUGAAUGACUGGAAAACGAAAUAAGUAGGCGUGGGGGCAUUAUUCGUAAUAUGUCACUGUAGACAAAGUAUCACUCACAAUCUUGAAUUACUGUCGGAUCAAUUUUGUUUUACCGAACAUUAGUCCAUUAAUGGUAUCCAACGAUCAUGGUGAUUCUUCUUGUGUUGUCAAAACGCUAUAAAAAGAAACGGUGAAUACCGUCAUUUAUCUCAUUUUCUGAACAAACUCUGGUAACUGAUAACAGAGUUACAGAUGAACAUAUUUUUGGAUAUGCACGAAUUUCUAAGCAUACUCUGAAAAACGUACUUGUAAUCCAGAAUUAUCUUUUAUUUUUUAUAAGAUGAAUAUGCGUCUUAUGUUCCGUUUUCACUCUCAUGUCACGUCACCAAGAUCUUCAAACUGUUCAUUGUUUAGAUGUAUAUGAUAUAACGACAAAUAAAGGCUGUUGAGCUUCCAGUUAAAAACAUGCAAAGCUUCGAUUUUGCAUUAAAUGUUUAUUGAAUUACCAUAAAAAACCAACAAACAAAUAAAGCAGUGAGUAAACAAGUUGUUAAACUGGUUUAUAGCAGCUG